rnacentral:rRNA from 1 species
AGCAGCCGCGGUAAUUCCAGCUCCAAUGGCGUAUAUUAAAGUUGUUGCAGUUAAAAAGCUCGUAGUUGAACUUCGGGGUUUACCCAUUGGUCAGGCUUAAUUGUCUGUACUGGUGAGAUAAAUCUCUACCUUCUGAGGAACUUUCAUGCCAUUUAUUUGGUGUGAUUGGAAAUCAGGACUAUUACUUUGAAAAAUUAGAGUGUUUAAAGCAGGCUAACGUCUGAAUAUAUUAGCAUGGAAUAAUGAAAUAGGACGGCUUGGUUCUAUUUCGUUGGUUUCUAGGAUCACCGUAAUGAUUAAUAGGGAUAGUUGGGGGCAUUAGUAUUCAAUUGUCAGAGGUGAAAUUCUUGGAUUUAUUGAAGACUAACUACUGCGAAAGCAUUUGCCAAGGAUGUUUUCAUUAAUCAAGAACGAAAGUUAGGGGAUCGAAGACGAUCAGAUACCGUCGUAGUCUUAACCAUAAACUAUGCCGACUAGGGAUCGGACGAAGUUAAUUUUAUAAUGACGCGUUCGGCACCUU